ensembl:lncRNA
UAUAUAAUAAUGCUUUCAUAUUAUGGUGGAGCAAUUUCAUAGCAAAAAAUAAAAAACAUAACGACAAUGGCGCAAAUAUUACAAAAAGAAUAAAUAAGAAAUAUAAAACUAGUGUAGAAUUUGCAAUUUUUACGAUAAAAACUGUUUUUUUUUUUUUUUUAUUAUAUUUAUUAUCAGAAGUAAGAUAUUAAACAUUAAAUUUUUAGUAUAUUGUGCGAUGGUGCUAUUGUGUUAUGUUGUUUUUUUUUAUCUAUUCAUGUUUUAUAUACAAUAAUUCGAUUAAUGCAUAACGUAUAUAUAUAUAUAUAUAUAUUAGCUAUAUGCUCAUAUAAAUUUUUGCUUUACGUUACUCUUGUUGUAAUUUGUUUACAGAAUAGAGAUAACAAUAGGAAUGGUUUAAUAGGAAUUAUUAAAAAAAAAAAAAAAAGUAUGAUAUACGCAAGACAGUUAACAGAAUACCACGUAGAUGAAAAAAGGAAUGACAUAGCUAGCUUGUAUGGCGGUUUGAGUGGCAUGGCGAAAGCACCUGCUGUCAUGAAUACAGACAGUAUAUAUGAAAAAGUAUUUAAUACUUAUAGUUCGAGAACAUAUGCUAAUAAAAAUGAAAGUACACAUUCCAAGUAUAAUAGUAAAAAUAACAUACAAAUUGAUACAAAUAAAAGAUCUACUUUGAUAAAUAUGCAACCGAAAGGUGGCACUUAUCAAACGAAAAAUACCGGAGAUAUAUCUAACAAUGUUAGAGUGCCUGAAAACGGAACUCAUAAAGAUGAGUACGUAUUUGGUAAUGAUAAAAAAAAAGAUCAGAAUGUAAAACAAUCUUAUCACCCGACGUUUGAACAAAGAGAAAAUAGUGCUAAAAGCAUAGAAGAUAGCAAAAUGGAUGACUAUGAAAAUGUUUUUAAAAAAAUUGCAACAAACAUAGGAAAAAGAAAUAAAAACAAAACAACUGUUAGCGCAAGAACAGAAAACAUUUUGUCAUUAGAUGAAUGUGACAAAUCAUAUGAAACGUUUUUUAAAGCUUGUACUACGAAGAAAAAAAUGGAGGCUGAUGCGAUAACAUAUGUUCCUGAGACAUCAUCAAAUAUUUCUGUAAAUCAAAACGAACAAAAUAAAAGAGAACAAACAAAAAAUAAAUCUCAGAGCAAAACUGAUUAUGUGCCUAAAAAUUAUGAAUUUUAUUUAAAUAAUAUAGAUAUGUCAUUCAUAAAUACUUCACAUGAAUUAAAAGAAAUAUUAAAAAAACAUACUAAAAACUUUGAUACUUUACAAAUGCUUCUGUUAUAUAAUAUGGAAAUUAGUAUUAUGAGAUAUUAUUUUCUCGGUAUACAAAACGAAUUAUUUAGAAGUUGGGAUAUUUUAACAAGUGCAUAUCAUAUGAAUCCCUAUUAUAAAAAUAAAUAUUGGAAAAAAUUUUAUACCCAAAUAAUAAAGGAAGUAUUUUAUAAGGAAAAAAAGUAUUUACAUGAAUUAUAUUGUACUCUUCAAAAUGGAAAUUGCUCAAAUAGUUAUUUAAGACACAUUCUUUAUAGAUUUGAUAUAAAGUAUAAAAUAUUUUUAAGUAACUUGUUUUAUGCUUAUAAAAAACAUUUUCGUAAAAAAAUCAAGCAGUACUUUAAUGUGUUCAUAUUGGAUAUUUAAAGCAGUUUUUAAAAAAUAUGCGUUUAUAAAAAAAAUGCCGCAUUUUCUAUGGAUACCUAUAUUUGUUGUCCUUGAUUAUAUUAUUUUAAGUACGUAUGUCUAGAUGGAAAUAAUAAAAAAAAAUUAAAACGGACUGUUUAGCGGUAA